rnacentral:misc_RNA from 1 species
GAUGAAGAACGUAGCGAAAUGCGAUAAGUAAUGUGAAUUGCAGAAUUCAGUGAAUCAUCGAAUCUUUGAACGCACAUUGCGCCCGCCAGUAUUCUGGCGGGCAUGCCUGUCCGAGCGUCAUUUCAACCCUCGAACCCCUCCGGGGGGUCGGCGUUGGGGAUCGGCCCUGCCUCUUGGCGGUGGCCGUCUCCGAAAUACAGUGGCGGUCUCGCCGCAGCCUCUCCUGCGCAGUAGUUUGCACACUCGCAUCGGGAGCGCGGCGCGUCCACAGCCGUUAAACCCCCAACUUCUGAAAUGUUGACCUCGGAUCAGGUAGGAAUACCCGCUGAACUUAAGCAUAUCAAUAAGCGGAGGA